AGAGUUUGAUCCUGGCUCAGGAUGAACGCUAGCUACAGGCUUAACACAUGCAAGUCGAGGGGAAACGAUAGAGAAAGCUUGCUUUUUCUAGGCGUCGACCGGCGCACGGGUGAGUAACGCGUAUCCAACCUGCCCACCACUUGGGGAUAACCUUGCGAAAGUAAGACUAAUACCCAAUGACGUCUCUAGAAGGCAUCUGAAAGGGAUUAAAGAUUUAUCGGUGAUGGAUGGGGAUGCGUCUGAUUAGCUUGUUGGCGGGGUAACGGCCCACCAAGGCAACGAUCAGUAGGGGUUCUGAGAGGAAGGUCCCCCACAUUGGAACUGAGACACGGUCCAAACUCCUACGGGAGGCAGCAGUGAGGAAUAUUGGUCAAUGGGCGAGAGCCUGAACCAGCCAAGUAGCGUGCAGGAUGACGGCCCUAUGGGUUGUAAACUGCUUUUAUAAGGGAAUAAAGUGAGCCUCGUGAGGCUUUUUGCAUGUACCUUAUGAAUAAGGACCGGCUAAUUCCGUGCCAGCAGCCGCGGUAAUACGGAAGGUCCGGGCGUUAUCCGGAUUUAUUGGGUUUAAAGGGAGCGUAGGCUGGAGAUUAAGCGUGUUGUGAAAUGUAGAUGCUCAACAUCUGCACUGCAGCGCGAACUGGUUUCCUUGAGUACGCACAAAGUGGGCGGAAUUCGUGGUGUAGCGGUGAAAUGCUUAGAUAUCACGAAGAACUCCGAUUGCGAAGGCAGCUCACUGGAGCGCAACUGACGCUGAAGCUCGAAAGUGCGGGUAUCGAACAGGAUUAGAUACCCUGGUAGUCCGCACGGUAAACGAUGGAUGCCCGCUGUUGGUCUGAAUAGGUCAGCGGCCAAGCGAAAGCAUUAAGCAUCCCACCUGGGGA
rnacentral:rRNA from 1 species